GGAUACCCGCUGAACUUAAGCAUAUCAAUAAGCGGAGGA
rnacentral:rRNA from 1 species